GGGUAGCGUGGAGUCUGGUGGAAAGCCCUGUAGGGCGUGUGCGAGUCUGCGGCCGGAGGAAGUUGGUCCCACUCGGAGGGCGUGCGGCGCAGAGGCUGAGGGCGAAGAGGAACUUGCGCACCCGGGCGCGAUCCUCGGCCGAGGCGGGGAGGGCGAGGUGCCGCUGCGCCGCGGGGCCCGCGCUCGGAGCAGGCGGGCGGCUGCGCUGCAGAGCCUCCGCCAACUAGGGGGCUCGGGGCGGCGGCGACGUGCUCCUGCUGUUGACCAAGCAAGCCCCGGGGCGCCGUGUGCGGAGUAGGGCGGCUCGAGGCACGCGUGGUCCCGACGGGCUUCCCGCCGCCUGCACUCUCGAGUGGGCACGUCCCCGGGUCCCUGAGACGGCUGAGCCUGGCCGCGUGUAGGCCGAAGCCGGGGCGAGGCUUAAUUUGCAGUUAAUGAAUCUUUUCCAGAAAGUCCGCGAUCUCCAGCCAGAGGCUCGUGACCCACAGCCAAGGGUGAGGGAAGUCACUUUUGAAGAACUUUUCCUUGGAGGUUAAAAAAAAAAGAAGAAGAAGAAAUCAGCAGGAUCCAGUACUGAGCCUUGCCCCUCCUCCUCUUGUUUCUUCACGGCCAGCCCCCCGCCCCGCCCCGCCCCCACUCCCGUGACACUGGACCACGCUCGGGGCCUCAACCCUCCAUCUGAACCUGUGCACUCAGGUGCUCAGAGGUCCUUGUCCCAAGGUGACAACUAAAGGAGACAUGUAAGAGGCAGCUUGUGUCUGGAGGCUGCAAGUGC